rnacentral:lncRNA from 10 species
AGGCAUGCGGGUUUAUUGUUAGAAUUAAUUAAUGGACUAUUAAUAAGAAAUGUAGAUAAUGUAUGCUGCAGAGCUUUGAAAAUCCUGAAACACACCCUAAGGGUUAUGGAAUUUACAUCUUUCAUAGCUUCUAUUAUUUCUUCACUAGUUUGCAGCUAUGCUCACACCUGGAAGGUGACAAAAGGUGGAGUUUACUUUCUCGCCCGUGUCAGCAGUCAUACGGUGGAAUCCAUGAAAAUUGGAUUUCCUUUUUCUGGUGCGUUUUACUCUUGAACUGUAUAACUGUGGAUAACUUUAAUACUGCCCAUUCUUUGUUUUCAGUUAUAUAAUUUCUAUUAGCCUUAAAAGUAACCGAUAUAUUUCUUUUUUAAGGUUUCAGUAUAAAACAUAAUCUGCAUCUUCAUUAUGAAACUCAUAUGCAAUUUUCUUCUAUCUCUAGAAGUUUAGAUUGAGGUUUAAAAGAACCAUUUUCAUUAUCAAGCUUCCCCAUAGUUUCCCACUUUCUUAUUCCAAAUAUUUUUAAAAAUCACUCCAAAUAUCAGAGCUUUUAGCAAUAUAAAGAAAGAUUUAUUUUCAAAAGUAGCAAAACUUGUUUGAAAAAAAUAUAUAUCUUUAAGUGAAUUACUUUAUAAAUGUGACUGUCAAAGUCAGCUAUCCUAUGAUCUACAUUUUACAACAUAUUGUACAAAAGAUACAUUGAUAGGCUCUUAUCUAUUUAUAUAUUUAUAAUUACAUAUUGCACUUGGACCAGCAAGGCUUGCAGAGUCAUUCACGGUAGAAGUUAAUAAAGUUAAAUAGAUGGGAAUCUUUGUAAGUACAAUUGAUCUCCUCUGGUUUGGAAACGAAUCUCCUCGUCGUUGUAAAGUGUUCUCGCGGGGUGGGACAGAGAGAGGAGCAUUGCGAGGGGGAAGCAGAGACAGAGAGCACUGAGGGCAGGGGUCGCCUUCCCGGGGCCCGCUCCCCCCGGGAGCGCGCCUUUCCCAGACUCGCACCUCCAAGGUCAGGACGCGGUGGUUCCACAUAAGCGGCUCGCGGUCACCACUUCUUUCAGGUCACUCUCGGGUUUCCCGGCCACCAUAAAGGGCCACGUCUGCGGGAAAGAAGAGGGUGGAGGAGAGUUGUGAGAAGGAACCCCGAGGACUUCUGCAGCAGAGGAACCGGCUCUCUGUUUCCCCACUCCCAGAGUCGUGGCCGUAGAGGAGGAAAACACGAAUUAAAAUACAGGGAGUAUCAACCGCAUCCUGCCAACACCUCAUAAGACUCCAAGGCUUUACCGAGAUCUUCCACCUUCCCCGGGAUAAAUGAAGACAAGUGCUUCCUAGAAUCUUUAUGGUGAUGGAAAAGUGGAGAUUUAAAUGACCACAUCCACCCUAAGAUUUAUUGUGAGAAUGAUUGAUGUUAUAAACCAGGAAAAGGACUCUUCCCACAGCAGGGAUGACAGAAAUAUCAAGUUGAAGUUGCCUUUGUCUUCACAUACGAAUGACCCAGUACUACAACACAGAAAGUAUAAUAAUUUAAUCUGAGGUUCAAGACAGCAGUGAGAGAACACCCAGCAGGCCUGUUAAAAAUUUCUUCACUAAUUCCUCAACUAGUUUCCUUUGAUUUGCUCUCCCUUUUCUCAGUCUUGGUAAAACAUGAAAGUUAAAGUUAUUUUUAGACUAAAGAGCUAUGUGAAAAUGGGCAUUGGCCAAUACUUUGUGAAAUGUGUGUGUGUGUGUGUGUGUGUGUGUGUAGCUACUAAGAUAUCUGCAAAAUAACUACAAAUAAUUAAUUUGGGCUCUGGAAUGUGAUAAUUAUUAUAAAUCCAAACUAUGGCCUUACUGCAUACAUUAAGCUGUGAUUUUUCUUGUUGGAGCCAUUUUUUUUUCUUUUUGGCUCUGGGUCUCUGUUACACCUUAGUUAAUGGACUGCUCAGGCUGUCUGGGGAGAUAGUAAAAAUCAUAGUAAUAUGUACCACUGAAAAGAUUUCUGUUGUCUGUAUAUUUUUCAAUGUUGGAAACUUAAAAGUACCAAUUUCUGGAAGCAUGUAAAACUAGCCUCAUGUCAUAGGCUGGUUUUUAUGCUUAGCAAUUAUUUUUCUUCAUAGCCAUAUAAGAAAUAAUUAAGUCCCAUGUCCAUUUAUCUUGCAGUAAGACAUUUGGGCUGAGAAAGGCUAGUGGGCUGAUAAUAAAUUUUGGAGUGUUUCUAAAAUUCUGUAAAAGAUGGCUUCCAGUUUGGGAGUAAGAGUCGAAGAAUACUGUUGCUUAUGUAUCUUGAUAUGAAGUCUUGGAGAGAGAAUAUUCAUAUGAAAAAUACUUUUUUUCUUUUAAAAUUUUGUGUCUAUCCCUGCUAAUAAACACUUAGGGACAAAUGGGUGGGAGAAAUGACUUCUUGUUGGAUUCUACUGAGCAAGUCAUUUAAGCUGUAACUUAAGCUGUGCCAAAUUCUCCCAAAAUAUAAACUAUAUUCUGUGAGAAGACAAGCACUUUUGAGAAGCUGUAUUAACCCUUUUGGUAAGUUGACCAUUUCUGUUCCAAAGCACGAAAUAGAAAACUCGUGAUUUGAAAGUAUGAGAUCAUUUCUAAAAGUUCUUACCUGACUUUUAAGAAACAUUUAUGCCCCAGAGGCAUCUGGCCAAUUUGCUGCUCACUUCUAACAAUUUGUUUUGCAAGAGAGACUAUCUUUGAAAGAUUUUAGUGCUAAGGAAAUUUUAUCUCUGAAAGCUGUAAAAUGAAGAUUAGGCAUGGAAUGUACCCUUGAACUUAAAUCCUGGUUUAUCAGCUGAUACAUUUACAGGAAGUUCAAAUUUGAUUCAGUUGCACUUGGAUGGAAUAAUUUGCUUCCUUUUUUAUGAGAAGGAAAACAUCAUAGGCUUCCUUUGAACUGACUUCAUAUGCCAUUACAUAAUCUUUCUCAGGGGAAAAAUAUGCCUUUAAAUUUAAAUGUUAAUCCUUUUCUCUUACUCCUCAUCAUUUGGUCAGGAGACACAGGCUGGCAAAUUGGCAAAACUGCCCAUUCUCUUUUUUCUUCAUUUCUAAUUAGCACCUCCAGAUGUUUUAUUCAUUUUAUUUGAUGGUAACUACCACCACUUCAAAUAUUUGCCAACUUUCUAUGCAAAAAAAAGUUGACGCCUUUUUUUUUUCUUUUUUUGAUGGAGUCUUGCUCUGUCACCCAAGCUGGAGUGCAUCAGCACGAUCUAGGCUAACUGCAACCUCCGCCUCCCAGGUUCAAGAGAUUCUCAUGCCUCAGCCUCCCGAGUAGCUAGAAUUACAGGUGCCUGCCACCAUGCCUAUCUAAUUUUUGUAUUUUUAGUAGAGGUGGGGUUUCACCAUUUUGGCCAGGCUGGUUUCAAACUCCUGAUCUACCCACUUCAGACUCCCAAAGUGCUGGGAUUACAGGCAUGAGCCACCGUGCCCAGCCAGGUGCCUCUUUUUUGAUUUUACAUAAUUAUCUCCAUAUACUUUGUUUGCUGCUGAUUGACUGUUGUCUAUCUCCCGCUUAUAUGCCUAUCAAACUCUGACUUUGUUUCAUUAAAUUUUAACUUUAUUUAAUAAAGUGAGCAUUACCUCUCUUUGCUCAUUCUAAAUUAUAGUGGUGCUGUCCUGUUAUAUUUUGGCAGCCAAAGUGAAUAUGGCACUAGUGAGCUUGGUGGCUAGCUAAGAAGGUCAAUAACAGUGAUGCUGGGUAUUGCUGCUACCUUUACCUGGCACCAGCUGGGAGAUGGUAUAAAUCCUGGAUGGUAUAAAUCCAUUCAGUAAUUAGAAGUCUUCUGCGUGUUCACUAUACCUUAACCCCCUCUUUUCACAUUUAAUUCAGUGAAUUGUAGAUAAGAUGCCACAUUGCUAAGAUUUAAAGGUGGCAAAUAACAACAAUAAAGUCUAGGGAAAGAUUCUGCAUGGUUCUUUGAAUCCAGGAGUUAAUCUUGCAUUUCACAUGUUCCACAAUACAGCUUUGAAAGCAGCCAAGCCUAUGCACUUGAAAGUCAGAAUUUACCCUAAGGUGUAAGUGGGCCAGAGAAAACUCGGGCAGACAAAGAGAGUUAAAAAUUUUGCAAAGCCAGUUUAAUGUCCUCCUAAGUUUUCUAAUACUAGAAUAAUUUUAUUAGACCCUGUCAGUGUUAGGAAAGAGAGAGAAAAGGACUGAGCGACUCCUGAGUCAGGUACCAUGCAGGGACUUUUGCCUCCAUUCUCUCAUUUCAUGUAUUUUCUCUCCUUUCUGUUGGCACUACUAAAGAAAGAGCUGCCACAUGAAAUGAACAGUGUAUUAGAAAUGUAUGCCAGAGGCUUUCCCCUGUAAUAAAGUUUUAGAAAAACUG